UACGUAGGGUGCGAGCGUUGUCCGGAAUUAUUGGGCGUAAAGAGCUCGUAGGCGGUCUGUCGCGUCGGCUGUGAAAACCCGGAGCUCAACUCCGGGCCUGCAGUCGAUACGGGCAAACUGGAGUGUUGCAGGGGAGACUGGAAUUCCUGGUGUAGCGGUGAAAUGCGCAGAUAUCAGGAGGAACACCGAUGGCGAAGGCAGAUCUCUGGGCCGUAACUGACGCUGAGGAGCGAAAGCUAGGGGAGCAAACGGG
rnacentral:rRNA from 1 species